UGGGGAAUUUUCCGCAAUGGGCGAAAGCCUGACGGAGCAACGCCGCGUGAGGGAUGAAGGCCUCUGGGCUGUAAACCUCUUUUAUCAAGGAAGAAGAUCUGACGGUACUUGAUGAAUAAGCCACGGCUAAUUCCGUGCCAGCAGCCGCGGUAAUACGGGAGUGGCAAGCGUUAUCCGGAAUUAUUGGGCGUAAAGCGUCCGCAGGCGGCCUUGUAAGUCUGUCGUCAAAGCGUGGAGCUUAACUCCAUUUAAGCGAUGGAAACUGCAAGGCUAGAGUGUGGUAGGGGCAGAGGGAAUUCCCGGUGUAGCGGUGAAAUGCGUAGAUAUCGGGAAGAACACCAGUGGCGAAGGCGCUCUGCUGGGCCAUAACUGACGCCCAUGGACGAAAGCCAGGGGAGCGAAAGGGAUUAGAUACCCCUGUAGUCCUGGCCGUAAACGAUGAACACUAGGUGUCGGGGGAAUCGACCCCCUCGGUGUCGUAGCCAACGCGUUAAGUGUUCCGCCUGGGGAGUACGCACGCAAGUGUGAAACUCAAAGGAAUUGACGGGGGCCCGCACAAGCGGUGGAGUAUGUGGUUUAAUUCGAUGCAACGCGAAGAACCUUACCAGGGUUUGACAUCCUGCGAAUCCUUUGGAAACGAGGGAGUGCCUUCGGGAGCGCAGAGACAGGUGGUGCAUGGCUGUCGUCAGCUCGUGUCU
rnacentral:rRNA from 1 species